GGGGCGCCGGUAGGAGCCGGGGAUGGCUGCGUCCCUCAGGCUGUCUUCCUUCUGGUGUCUCCUCCAGGUGGAGCGACUGCGGUCCGCAGCGGCCCCUCCCGUCCUCCUGGAUCCUGCUUCCAGAGAUGGACACUAAUCCCAAGAGGAGGAAUCAAAGAGGGGUAUCUAGGUCGGUCGGACCCUUAGGACACAUCACUGACCUGCCUGCCUGUAAACGCCCGGAAGUUGCUGGCAGUCCCGCGUUAGGUUGCGCGUGCGCACUGCUCUUGGCCGCGUAGGUUGUGACGCAUGCUCGGCCAGACCCCCGCGAAGCUGUGGGCUCAGGGACCUGCGCCCAUGGACCUGUAACAGAAAUUACUGUAAUGUUCUACUGAACAUCUGCCACGCGAUGGCGAGUCACACGGGCACACACGAACACUCGCUCAGAUUGUUGCCCUGCGCUCGUGUGAAUGUACGGAUCCGGGAGGAAUUGGGACCUAAACAGACAAGCCCUCGAGGCGGUCCCGGCAGCCCUGAGGAGGGAGCCUUCACCUCUUCCUACCCACCCAGUUUACUUCUUGUGGAGGAUAUUUGCAGGGACAUAGCCCACUGGGAGAACUAGCAGAUACGGCUUUACAAGUUUUUUAUUGCCUUUCAGCCCCCAUUCCGCUCCCCUUCCUUGCGCUGCGUCGGGAAAGGGAAUGGGAUCCCUAGGGGUGCAAAUACAGGCCAAGUCAGGGAGAGCUGUGGCUCCUGAGGGCCUCCUCUGGCUCCUCCGGGAAGUUUUGGGCCCUCAAGGAGCAGCUUCGCGGGCCAGGAGGGCGGUUAGCUGCCCUUGGCAUCUUUUUGGGGAAAUCAGUUGGCCUGUCGCGGGUCGAACUCUGUCCCCCUUGACUGCCUGCCAUCUUCUGGAGAAACCCCUAAUAGGCUGCUGUGUCUGGUUAUGCUUUAGUGAGAAAAUUAGGCUUUUUAAGCUUUCUCAUUUCCUACCCUACCACGUUGUAAUUCACAAAAGUAAAAAGUAAAUCACUACAUGAUAGACUCUGUAUCAUGUAUUCAUUUAUAGAAUAUAUAUCAUAUAUUCUAUAUCAGAUGGAGAAUAUAAUAGAGGGUAGGAUUUUUUUAUGCCUGCCUAUGGCAUUUUUUUAAUUCACAGCACUUUAGAGCUGGAAGAUUAUCCAACAUACACAUUUUUAGAAUUACAGUUAGUAGAUUGUGGUGCAAUUAAACUGGGCAGGAUUUUUGGAGACUAGAUUGUAGGUGGAUUUUGAAAUAAUUGUUUCUGUCCUGUACUACUGCAAUGAGCCAUGGGACGUAUGUGUAUAAAUAUUAAGUUUGUCUUUGUAUUGCUUGUUUAGGCAAGCAAGCAAAAGGGAAAGUGCCCAGGUUUAAGACAAGAAUUGAGUUCACCAUUUACUAGCUGGAUGAGCUUGGGUGACUUACAGGUAAUUGCUGCAGCCUCUCCUCUACAAAAUGGAAAUGAUAAACAUCUACCUGCUGGGGCUGACGCAAGAUUUAAAUGCCAAAAGAGUUUUGGAAACCAUAAAGUACUUCACAGAUCUUAACUAACUUGUAUUUACAUUACCAAUUAGUGUGUGCUGUCCUGCACAGUAUCCAUAUGUGAAUACUGAGCACUUGAAAUGUGGUUAGUCCAAAAUGAGAUGUCCCGUCAAUGUAGAAUACACACAGGAUUUCAAAGACUUACUACAAAAAAAGAGUGUAAGAUACCUCAUUAGUCACUAUUAUAUGAAUCACAUGUUGAAAUAACAUUCUGGAUGUAGUAGAUCAAGAUUAUAGAUUACUAAAUUUUGCCAAUCUAUUAUAUUUUUUAGUGUCACUACUAGAAUAUUUAAAAUUUUGACCUACAUAUUUCUGUUGUACAACCCUGUUGUCUCUAUCUGGACCAUAAUAUUUCAAAGUCACUGAAUGCCUAUUUAUGAAAUAAAUAAUGGCCAUAUAAUUGAUUUAAAGAAGAAAGUAGCCGGGCGUGGUGGCUCAUUCCUGUAAUCCCAGCACUUUGGGAGGCCGAGGGGGUGGAUCACCCAAGAUCAGGAGUUCAAGACCAGCCUGGCCAACAGGGCGAGACCCUGUCUCUACUAAAAAUACAAAAGUUAGUUGGGCGUGGUGACAGGCGCCUGUAAUCCCAGCUACUUGGGAGGCUGAGGCAGGAGAAUCACUUGAACCCAGGAGGUGGAGGUUGUGGUGAGCCAAGAUUGUGCCAUUGCACUCCAGCUUGGGUGACAAGAGUGAAACUCCGUCUCAAAAAAAAAAAAAAAAAAAGAAUAAAUAAAAUACGUUUAUGUUGUACAUUAUAAUUCUUUUUGUUUGUUUGUUUGUUUGUUUGUUUUGAGACAGAGUCUUGCUCUGUCGCCCAG
rnacentral:lncRNA from 1 species